rnacentral:lncRNA from 1 species
CAAGUAUUUGUUGAGUGGGUUUUCAAGGACCUCUCGGUCCAUGGGAAAGAAAGGCAUAAUCGAGCCAGCACAACAGGGUGCCCAUGGGAGAGACAAUUUGGGUGAAAUGUAGAAGAUGGGGAAUUUUGGCUGAGAAGCACACACCUGAGAGGAGUGGUGUCUUGGAAGAUUCAGAAGUGGGAAGGGUGUAGUGUGGUAUGGGACUCGGAGGGCUGGCUGGACUCUAGGGUGUGUCACUGUAUGUAUGAGUUUGUGGGGUGGGGUCAGCAGGCCAAACCAGCAGGCAGGGAGGUGCUGGAUUAUGUAAAGCCUGAAUCUGGACCAUCCUGUGAGAACUGGAGGAGGCCAACUGAAGCAUGGCAAGAUUAUAAAUGAAAUUUGAAUGUAUUGUUUCAUGUGUGAUCUGAAAAACAGUCAGAGGGGAGACCAGGAGGCAGGGAGAUAAGUGAGAAGAGGGGAGAAACAGCCAUAAGGGACGAUGAUGGCAACGUGUCUAUAUUAGCUGCAGAGGGGGAGGACAAGAGAAAAGAUAUGAGAAAUCCUGGCACUAGUGUUCGUCUGGACAUCAGAGUGACCUAGAACACAGGAAGAUGAUGGCUUCAUCACAUGGUUUCUAGCUUGGGUGACUAGUUAGGUGACUAGGUGGCACAGUUAACCAGCAGAGGAGCUGAAUGUGGAUAGUUGACCAGGCACUGCCUUCCAAGGGGUUCAAACAGUCUUCAGCAUGGAGCCAAAGUACAUCAUAUACAAGGAUCAGUGUUCAAGAUGGGAUGGCUGUAACAAAAGCAGGAAAAGUCAGACAGCUUGACGCAUUGACUUGAACUCCAUGUUUGAAGAAGGGGUAGUCACAGCCUCCAUGUGGUGUGGCAUUCAUGAUGCAGUGCCCAGAACAGGCUGUCAGCUGGCCACUGCACCCAUUUGACUCUCUGGAUCAUAGCAACUCCGGG